UAGGUGCCAUUCAAGCUGUCGCUCCUGCCGCCCAAAACCUCGCUGCCGUUGCCGGAGAACUCUGUCGGUAAGGGUUUUAAAUUUGUGGUUUCGGUCAUUUUGAGUUUCGAGAAGGUUUUGAUGCUGCGCGGUUUUUAUAGAUGACCCACCGGAGCUUCUGGCCACCGCCGGAGCUGCUGCCGGGCCAGUUCAAAAUCGCAGCUGCUUCGUGUUGAAAUUUUGAGCUGAUUAUGUUGCUGCGAAUAUGUGUGGGGCUGUGCCUUGAAGCUGCCUUUGAUUUUAAGUUGAGGCGAAAAGAACUUUUGAGGCGCUUGGAUUAUGGAAUUGCGUUUUGAGGAUAUGGGUGCAGAAGUUACGAAGGGUUUAUUUAGUUGUUGUUGAGAUGCUUUGUAUUGCUUUAGAAUAUUAUUUAUUGUACCCUCGCCUUUAUCUUGAGAUGUUCUGUAAGAGGGUUAAGAAUUGUAUUGGAUAAUGUUUGUAGUAUUAUUUAUAUAUAUGUAUGUAUAUAUAUAUGGUGUACUCUUGAUGAGCUUUUGUAAGUUGUAUGGUAUCUAUGGAUGUACGUUAUCGAACAAAAGUAAUUUUUGGAGCGGUAUUGCGGUUUAAAGUUUUAAA